GCAAGUGUAAAUUAUUACAAAGUUACCUUUUGGCUUCUCAAUCGCGUUCUCCUUCACCCCACACUACUCUUCUCCAUCGAUGCUGUGUGCUGUUCGCAGCAGAGAUUAAUCAGGCGGUAUUUACACUAUAUACUAAUCAAGCUUUGGAACUAAGAAAUCCAAAUUUUUAAAGUAUUCUUUUCAAAACAAAAUAUUGUCUACAUUUCUGGCUGCAGGUUAAGGUCGAGACCUUUAGUUCUUUGGCAGAACUAAAAUCAUUCCACUGGAUGUUCAUUCAUGGAUUUCUUGUAGGAUUGUUCGACGAUAAUUGUAACUUUCUGGCGCUGAUCUCGAAAUAAAAUCGCUUAGUGAUGUUAUAUUUUUA